CAUGAGGACAUGGGUUUGAUCCCUGGUCUUGCUCAGCGGGUUAAGGAUCCAGCGUUGCCAUGAGCUGUGGUGUAGGUUGCAGGCGUACCUCGGAUCUGGCGUUGCUGUGGCUGUGGUGUAGGCCGGCAGCUGCAGCUCCGAUUUGACCCCAAGGCUGGGAAUGUCCAUAUGCCACAGGUGUGGCCCUAAAAAGACAAAAAAAAAAAAAAAAAAAAAGUGUAGGCUUUAUUUUCCCAUCUGUUUCUGGAAUGCUGUGGUCUUUGCCUGGACUUUCCAGAAGCCCCAGGAAGAGAAUCAGCGGUAGAAAUUGGUUUAAUCAAACAUGUUAAACUUCAGUAUCUCUGCUGGAUCCCUGUGAGCCUAUCCCAGCUACAUGGGAAUAUUUAAACAGGAAAUUCUUUCAAAUUGCAUUUUUGUCUCGGGUUUUCAUCAUAAAUAUUUUCCAAGACUCCAGGUUUUCCUGUCUCAUGGACCCAACUUCAGUACUGGAAAUAAAAACUCAGUAAGAUAAUUAUCACUAUAAUCUGACUUGAUCAUAUAUUUUUAGCCUUUAUUGAAAAUACCCAGUGAGAGCCUGCUGUAUAGCAGUGGGAACUAUAUCUAGUCACUUGUGAUGGAGCAUGAUAAUGUGAGAAAAAGGAAUGUGUCUGUGUGACUGGGUCACCUUGCUGUAAAGUAGAAAAUUGACAGAACUCUGUAAACCAGCUACAAUGGAAAAAAAUAAAAACCAUUAUGAAAAAAACUUAAAAGAUAAAAAAAAGAAAAUAUCUUAAGUGGAUCAUUGAUCAUUUUUAAUGGAAAAAAUAAUUCUCUUGGCAAGUGACUUAUGUCCAUAUAUAUCCUGUAUUUGAAUUUUAUUUGUCAGUGUUUCUUAUCUGGUCUUGAGCUACUCAAGAGCAGGGAAUCCAUUACAUGCCCACAUGGUAGGGCCUCACUUUUAUGCUAAUUAGUUAACCAAUUACCUUAUUUACAGACACCAGGAAUACUACAAGCCCAUGAAAUGAAUAAUGCCUUUAUGGCUACAUUCUUUCUAUUGCUUAUUGCUGUGUUUCUUGCGCUGAUGCGACACGCCAGGCAUUGUUCUAGGUGCUGAGGAUACAGCAGGAAACGAAUACUACAAAAUGAGGUCCCACCCACUCCCCACCAAAAACUAAACUAAACUAAACUAAAAAAGCCCUUUCAAAAGCUUACCCCAAGCUGGGGCCCAUAGAUGUGCAUAUGUUAAAAAAGAGAAAGGGAGGAAGGAAGGCGAAGCUCUCCUGCAGUAGAAUAGGCACAGGUUAGGACUCAGAAGGCUUGGGUUUAUUUUGUGCUUUCCAGCUGUGUGACCUUGAGGAAGUUACUUGCCCUCUCUCUGCCUCAAUUUCCUCAUCUGUAAAAUAGGGAUAAUGAAAACGUGUGAUGAAAUUGUUGUGAUAAUUAAAUUAAGACAUGUAAAGGGCUGAGAAUAAUGCUGGGCACAUGUUGAAUACCCAAUAAAUAUUAGCUAUUUAUUGUUGUUACUGGUAUAAACAACUCUGAGUCGGUCACAUAACAUCUCAGCUUCCAUUUCUUUCCCUGUGAAAUAAGGGAUAAUGGUAACAUCUCCCUCGUGGGUAGGGUUCAAGUGAGACGGACGAGGUGAAAGCACUUUAUAAACUGGGGCUUAUGCUAGGACCCCAAGCUCUUAGCGGGCAGCCAUUCUGGGAACCCAGGGAGACGAGGGGUGAUGAGGUGGAAGGCGGUGGAAUCAGGAAAGCUGUGAGCAGAGCGAGAAGCCAGCCCUUCGUUCCAGCAGUUGUGGUCAUGCAGAUGUUUCUAAUGAAGCCACAAAUCCAGAUUUUUAUGUAAGCGCUCUCAUUUUUAAAUGUUGGCAAUUAAGUUGGAUUUUUGUAAAACACUUUGAAAGCCAAUCAAAAUAAGGAUGCAGGUUGCCAGUGUGUGACCUGUUAUAAACUUCUGUAGCUAUUACUUAAUAAGCCAAGGGGGAGAACUAGGAAAACAGCUGAUGCAAUAACUAAACUGAAAAGCCAAGAAAAGACUCACAUUAAUUGGGUGCUAUGUCUCAUACGCGUUACAGCACUGGAUUCUCCCAGCAGCUCCCAGAGACAGGCAUUAGCACCCUCCUGCCACAGAGGAGGAGACGAGGCCCAGAGAUCCCGAAGGCCACACAGCUGGUGACAGGCCCGUAGGACUGAACGCCCCCUUCUCUGCAACUCCAAAAUCCAAUCUCUUUCCACUCUGAGGGUGUUGCAAGAUGGCAACAUGGUGUCACCUAAGCCCACAGGCCCAUAAACUUAGGCAAAUACCAUGCAACGGGCAUCAUCAGUGGGCCCAGCAUUCAGACUGGUUGCGCCGCCCUGCUCCACCCUGGGGAACCGACAUAAAGACCCUUGACGUUAACCGUGUUCCAUCAACUAAAGCCUGAACGAGUCCUUGCCCAGAAGAGGUUCUUGGGCAAAAGGGCCGCACACAUGGCACGGUCCUAGAAGGUGCCUUCUGGAUCUGCCAUAGGCAGCCUGAAGAGAAAGGGGAGAAGGGAUCAGAGUCUCCAGAUCCAAAAGGGUCUCAGAAGCAGUCCCCAAAGCCAUGUGCAAAAAUGCAACAAGGUCUAUAUACUAAGACAUCUCCUGUUAAUCUUCCGAACUGUGAGUCUCUACACUGCCGUAGUGUAGACCAGGGGCUCCCAUCGCCCUCCACCCAAUGCUGGGUCUACCCCCCAGAUGAAAGCUGGGCAUUUGAUGAGGGCACGGGUAAGUUUUAAAAGCUCCCCAGGUGAUCCUCCAAGAAUCACUGAUCGAGUGUCUACUAAGGGAAUUCAGCAGAUCCUCUAAUCAUUCAACACCUAUUUCUUGAGCACCUACUAUGUGCCAGAUACGAGCAAGGAGAAUUGCUCCAGCCUCUGACUCUGCCUAGUCCAUAUUUCUGGCCCAGGAGGUCUCAAAAUACGAGAAGGAGACAGAGGAGGAGAAGAGAAAAUAGACUGCAUUUUACAGAUUCCAUCUUCAAAACCACCCCAUUGAGGUUGGGUUUCCAUGAAUGCCUGAGGAAACUGAGGCCCAGAAAGGCAAGGGACUUGUUUCUGUUCACAUAACAAAUAGGAAGCUGGUUUAGAAUGCUCACCACAGUAGCAACAGUAGCAACUAUGAUUGAAGGUUUACUACAGGCCAGAAAUUGCCAGGCUCUUCUAAGAAUGGUCAUGCUGAAUAUGAGAUGGUGAAGUUGGUGUGGCCACGAGGCUUGACGGGAGGAAGUUUCUUGUGCUCACAGAUCCCAGAGGGGGGCUCUGGGCAGUCGCAGGGGAAAGCACCCGUGUUGGUCAGGAAACAGGAAGGCGCAAGGGAAACGUCUAGGCCGGAGCCUUCACUGGGUUUCCUGCAGUGAAGACAGGACAAGGUAAACAGCUAGGGUAAUUAAUUCCGGUGGGCUUUGGACACUAAGUGUGGUCUCUAGUGCCUGGUACCUGACCCUGGGAUGAUUGAGGGCUGGGGAAAUACUGAGUGUGAGCGUGAAACAGGAGGUGGUUAAGGAGGUGGAGACUCAGGACGGGCUGGGUUGCACAGGAAAGGCGAAAGGCCUGCUCCUGGGCAGGUUGUUAUCAGCAGCGCCGGAGAGGCAGUCUCUUCCUGGGUCUGCAAAGCCCCAAAAUACCAGCACAUCAAGUAUCAAGAAAAGGGGGGGGGGAGUUUCUCCCACGGGUGCAAAGGAUUAGCUCUGGGACACAGGUUAAAUCUCUGGCCAGCAUGGUGGGUUAAAGGAUCCAG
rnacentral:lncRNA from 1 species